rnacentral:sRNA from 1 species
ACGGCGAACAGAGCUGUCUUUGGAGAUUGUGUUCGGUCCAUGUCUUCGUGUUCUGUUUUGAA